GUGCUUCCCUCAUCAGCACAAAAGCUGAAACUGAAACAAAACAAGGAAGGUUAACAUGGCCCCUGUGCCAGCAUAACAUGCAAAUCUGCAAGGUAUUUUCUACAGUA
ensembl:snRNA U6 U6 spliceosomal RNA